CAAUAUGAACAAUCCAUCAUGUCUAAUGAUAUUAUACAAUUAUAACAGAGAAUUCAGCGACUAGCACUUCGUCCACUCGAACUGCUGUUGUGUUUUUGUUUUUUUUUUUUAUUUUAAUAUAUGAUAUAUUGGUGAUAGAUGUUACGCCAGUUAAAAAUAAUAUUGCCAUUUUUCCACUUUGUCAUUUUUCCUCGUCAAUUUUACCUUGAUAUUUUUUCCCUUGUCAUUUUUUUCUAAAAUCACCUAAAAUAUGUUCACUCAUUCAAAAUCACUCACAAUCAAAAAAGACUAGGGAUGGUAUAUGUUUGUAGAACGCGAGGAGUGUAAAACUGUAUUAUUUAUCUACGAAAAUCCCAAACCUAACAAUAAAGGGAGUCAAUAGUUGUUCAUAGCGUAUUGCAAUAGUCCUCUACUUAACCUUUCAAUCCAUCCUUCAAGUCGAUGGAGCAGGUGGUGAUUGUAUAUCGGAUUCUGUGAUCGAAUGUUUCGAAUGUAAUAGCUGGGAAGACGAGCGGUGCAACGAUCCUUUCAACUAUACACUUCAUAAGGAAAAUAUGCCUCCACUCCUACCAUGUGAAGGUUGUUGUGUCAAAAUGGUUCAGUUCAUUGGAACGGAGCACUAUCAAAUCAAAAGAACUUGUACAGAUCACUUUGAAGUCAACUUCUUCAUGGUCAAUCAUGCAUGCAUGACAGAAGGUCAUAGACAUGGUCGUAUGUGUUUUUGUGAAGAAGAUGAAUGUAAUUAUGGGCCUUGGAAUCGAGUUUCAAGUCUGAGUCUCAUUCUCAAUAUUAUUAUUGGUUUUCUCUUAAACAGUUGACAAUGGUUUUAUUGGUCCGUUUUUUGUGUUAUUAUUGUAUUUUUAUAUCCUACAUUACUUUAUCAAAGAUAAUCAGUCCCAAGUCCUGACAAAAUGCUCAAAAAUAUUUAUUUAUUAUUAUCAAUUACUUCAUCUAUGAUUCAGUAAAUAAGUUCAGACACAUGAUGUAUUACUGUAUAUUUGUACAGAGAUAGUUUAUUAACACGAAAAAGUGUCACAUUUCGUGAACUCAUAGUAUCAUUAAAAUAUAGAUUAUAGAUGUAUGCUAAAUCCAAUUUGUUAUCAUCAUAUAUGUGUUCAACAUACAUAAAAAGUAUUAAGUUGUACUUAACUGGAAAUGCUGGUCUAUUAUAAUAAUUAAGUAAAUGUAGGCA
rnacentral:misc_RNA from 1 species